GACGAACGCUGGCGGCGUGCCUAAUACAUGCAAGUAGAACGCUGAAGAGAGGAGCUUACUCUUCUUGGAUGAGUUGCGAACGGGUGAGUAACGCGUAGGUAACCUGCCUUGUAGCGGGGGAUAACUAUUGGAAACGAUAGCUAAUACCGCAUAACAAUGGAUGACACAUGUCAUUUAUUUGAAAGGGGCAAUUGCUCCCCUACAAGAUGGACCUGCGUUGUAUUAGCUAGUAGGUGAGGUAAUGGCUUACCUAGGCGACGAUACAUAGCCGACCUGAGAGGGUGAUCGGCCACACUGGGACUGAGACACGGCCCAGACUCCUACGGGAGGCAGCAGUAGGGAAUCUUCGGCAAUGGGGGCAACCCUGACCGAGCAACGCCGCGUGAGUGAAGAAGGUCUUCGGAUCGUAAAGCUCUGUUGUAAGUCAAGAACGGGUGUGAGAGUGGAAAGUUCACACUGUGACGGUAGCUUACCAGAAAGGGACGGCUAACUACGU
rnacentral:rRNA from 1 species